GUCGUAACAAAGGUUUCCGUAGGUGACCCUGCGGAAGGAUCAUUG
rnacentral:rRNA from 1 species